CUUCCGGCAAGAAGUCUUGCUUCCGGUUUGUAGUGGGUGGGUUGAUAAAAUGAAAAGUCUUGAUACGAGAAAAAUUAUGCUGCGCUUCAUAAACGUUGAAAGAACACAUUAUACGCGCCUACCAAGGUGAUUAUUUUUAGCCAUUAACACAAAACAUAUGCCUGGCCAAAAAUUGAGCCGGCAUAUACUAGGCACAGGCCUAUCCCAUUACCCAUUUUAUUGCACGUCUACUAUUGAAAUAUUUUGCUGGAAUCUCUGAGAAAGCAUAUUAUAGUGAGCCAUGAUAGCUGAUAGCAUCGUUAUGAUUCAAGCUGCCUAUCAUGCAAAUGCUUGCAGGUGUGCUAAGCAAUAAAGAGAGACAAUAGGUCCUCACUGGCCUUGCAGAUGUGUUAUUGACAGCCAGGCACACAUUCUAAUGUAGGCCUAUAUAAAUCUCAAAAUGGAUAUCACCUGUCAUGACCAACACUUUUCAUGGUUUUCCUGAGUGUCCAUGAUAAUGCUUAAAGUAGAGCACAUCCUUUCCUACACUUUGUUCAUAAUCCUGUAACUUCUCAUCCCAACUAAGAAAUGAAAACUUGAAACAGCAUCUUUAAACAAAUGAACCACUAGUGUCUAUUUAUAACAAUAAUUACACUACCAAGACAGUGACCAUCGUUGAGUGGUUACCACUACCACUUUGUAUUCUGUAAUUCCCAGGUUCAAAUCUCAGCCCAGAAAUUGGCUAUCCUGACAGAUUUUUUCAUUAUAUUCCACAACCCUUCAGGCAAGUGGUGGGAUAGUAUUUGAAAUUAGCCCAUGAAUGUUUCCACGCACACACUUCCAUUCAUUAUUUGACUGUCAUCUUAUGUAAUACUACACAGUCUGAGUUCUUGGCAAUGUAGCUUAACAUAAACUAGAAAAUAUAACCAAGAUAGCCUUGAGUAAGGGAAGAAAUCAUGGAGGAAAGUAAAUUAAAACAUCUGGCUCCAAAUUUGAAGAGUUGUGACGUCUUGAAUCAGAGACGUAACUAACUCACUGAUGAAGUAUAAUGCCAAAAGAAAUACUUCAAUAACCUAUAGGAUGUUCAUGCCAUUUUGUGCACAAAGAAAAUUAUUUCAUAAAUGAGUCCCAUAUGACAUACUGCUCCUCCCCCUUUUUUACUUGUAGCUGUGUUGUAGUCUAACAGCUUGAGGAUGUAUGUAGUCCAUUAAGAUAAAAUCAGUAUUAAAACAAUUGUCACAUAAGCUUUCUUCCCCAGUUACACACUUAUUUUUAGUAAAAAACUGAUCCAAUUCCAAAACAAAUAUAACUGCAGAACAGGAAGAAGUUGUGAUGUUUGACAUUAGAAAUAAAAAUGAAUAUUUUAUAAAAUAUGUUACAAAUUUAUUCAUUACAUUGUUUAAAAACAGCAUUUAAUUUUCUACCUUAUUUUUAUAUAAAAUGUGUUUUUUACAGUCAGUGUAUCACUCAAAUUAACAAAAUAUUUAUAUUAUAAACAAAAAAUAUAUAAGUGUUCAUACUUUAUUCCCAUAUUGAUGAAAAUUAUCUGCAAUAUGCAUUACAUAAUGAUUACCCACAAAUCAAUGGGUUCACUGGACAUCACACAUUGUAAUGCUGUGUAGACUCACAGGCAGGAGCCAACAUUUUGUAGGAACAUACUGUUUCCAUCUGCCCUAAAAAUGGAGGAUAAGCAGCCAAGUCAGCUUGGCUUGGGGGCGAGAAAUCGUCCCCGAAGGCGGAUGGACUACCUAGCUUAGACAACGGCAUAGCAUCAGGGAGGCAAGGGGAAAAUACCUGAUUCUAUUCCCAUGAGAGCGCUUCAUGGAUGGACAAUUCCAACCCAUGAAGCGCCACCACGCCCUGUUAAGGGUCAAGGACAGAGGAGAGGAUGUUCCUCUAAAACACUGGUAUCGACCUACAAGUCUACAUAGUUUUACAACCCAGAAUACCAACCCUGACAAGACAAAUAAUGUUUGUCACAAUACAGAACAGACGUUUUCCUUGCAGCUGUAAGUAACACACUCCAAGUUGACUAAAAUAACUAUUACACUUACAUCAAUUUAAGCAUGACUUUUACAUGCUUUGUAUAAAAUACCGGUAUAGUGCAUUACCACUAUUACUUUUCAUGAAAUAAAACCAUUACAUCUGCUUCC